UACGGAGGGGGCUAGCGUUGUUCGGAAUUACUGGGCGUAAAGCGCACGUAGGCGGCUUUGUAAGUUAGAGGUGAAAGCCCAGGGCUUAACCCUGGAAUUGCCUUUAAGACUGCAUCGCUUGAAUUGUGGAGAGGUGAGUGGAAUUCCGAGUGUAGAGGUGAAAUUCGUAGAUAUUCGGAAGAACACCAGUGGCGAAGGCGACUCACUGGACACAUAUUGACGCUGAGGUGCGAAAAGCGUGGGGGAGCAAACAGGG
rnacentral:rRNA from 1 species